rnacentral:rRNA from 1 species
UUAAGCGACUAAGCGUACACGGUGGAUGCCCUGGCAGUCAGAGGCGAUGAAGGACGUGCUAAUCUGCGAAAAGCGUCGGUAAGGUGAUAUGAACCGUUACAGCCGGCGAUGUCCGAAUGGGGAAACCCAGUGUGAUUCGUCACACUAUCGUUAACUGAAUACAUAGGUUAACGAGGCGAACCGGGGGAACUGAAACAUCUAAGUACCCCGAGGAAAAGAAAUCAACCGAGAUUCCCCCAGUAGCGGCGAGCGAACGGGGAGCAGCCCAGAGUCUGAAUCAGCUUGUGUGUUAGUGGAACGGUCUGGAAAGUCCGACGGUACAGGGUGAUAGUCCCGUACACCAAAAUGCACAGGCUGUGAACUCGAAGAGUAGGGCGGGACACGUGGUAUCCUGUCUGAAUAUGGGGGGACCAUCCUCCAAGGCUAAAUACUCCUGACUGACCGAUAGUGAACCAGUACCGUGAGGGAAAGGCGAAAAGAACCCCGGCGAGGGGAGUGAAAAAGAACCUGAAACCGUGUACGUACAAGCAGUGGGAGCACCUUCGGGUGUGACUGCGUACCUUUUGUAUAAUGGGUCAGCGACUUAUAUUCUGUAGCAAGGUUAACCGUAUAGGGGAGCCGCAGGGAAACCGAGUCUUAACUGGGCGUUAAGUUGCAGGGUAUAGACCCGAAACCCGGUGAUCUAGCCAUGGGCAGGUUGAAGGUUGGGUAACACUAACUGGAGGACCGAACCGACUAAUGUUGAAAAAUUAGCGGAUGACUUGUGGCUGGGGGUGAAAGGCCAAUCAAACCGGGAGAUAGCUGGUUCUCCCCGAAAGCUAUUUAGGUAGCGCCUCGUGAACUCAUCUUCGGGGGUAGAGCACUGUUUCGGCUAGGGGGUCAUCCCGACUUACCAACCCGAUGCAAACUACGAAUACCGAAGAAUGUUAUCACGGGAGACACACGGCGGGUGCUAACGUCCGUCGUGAAGAGGGAAACAACCCAGACCGCCAGCUAAGGUCCCAAAGUCAUGGUUAAGUGGGAAACGAUGUGGGAAGGCACAGACAGCCAGGAUGUUGGCUUAGAAGCAGCCAUCAUUUAAAGAAAGCGUAAUAGCUCACUGGUCGAGUCGGCCUGCGCGGAAGAUGUAACGGGGCUAAACCAUGCACCGAAGCUGCGGCAGCGACACUAUGUGUUGUUGGGUAGGGGAGCGUUCUGUAAGCCUGCGAAGGUGUGCUGUGAGGCAUGCUGGAGGUAUCAGAAGUGCGAAUGCUGACAUAAGUAACGAUAAAGCGGGUGAAAAGCCCGCUCGCCGGAAGACCAAGGGUUCCUGUCCAACGUUAAUCGGGGCAGGGUGAGUCGACCCCUAAGGCGAGGCCGAAAGGCGUAGUCGAUGGGAAACAGGUUAAUAUUCCUGUACUUGGUGUUACUGCGAAGGGGGGACGGAGAAGGCUAUGUUAGCCGGGCGACGGUUGUCCCGGUUUAAGCAUGUAGGCUGGUUGUCCAGGCAAAUCCGGAUAAUCAAGGCUGAGGUGUGAUGACGAGGCACUACGGUGCUGAAGUAACAAAUGCCCUGCUUCCAGGAAAAGCCUCUAAGCAUCAGGUAACAUCAAAUCGUACCCCAAACCGACACAGGUGGUCAGGUAGAGAAUACCAAGGCGCUUGAGAGAACUCGGGUGAAGGAACUAGGCAAAAUGGUGCCGUAACUUCGGGAGAAGGCACGCUGGUGUGUAGGUGAAGCCCCUGCGGGUGGAGCUGAGACCAGUCGAAGAUACCAGCUGGCUGCAACUGUUUAUUAAAAACACAGCACUGUGCAAACACGAAAGUGGACGUAUACGGUGUGACGCCUGCCCGGUGCCGGAAGGUUAAUUGAUGGGGUUAUCCGUAAGGAGAAGCUCUUGAUCGAAGCCCCGGUAAACGGCGGCCGUAACUAUAACGGUCCUAAGGUAGCGAAAUUCCUUGUCGGGUAAGUUCCGACCUGCACGAAUGGCGUAAUGAUGGCCAGGCUGUCUCCACCCGAGACUCAGUGAAAUUGAACUCGCUGUGAAGAUGCAGUGUACCCGCGGCAAGACGGAAAGACCCCGUGAACCUUUACUAUAGCUUGACACUGAACAUUGAGCCUUGAUGUGUAGGAUAGGUGGGAGGCUUUGAAGCGUGGACGCCAGUCUGCGUGGAGCCAACCUUGAAAUACCACCCUUUAAUGUUUGAUGUUCUAACGUUGGCCCCUGACCGGGGUUGCGGACAGUGUCUGGUGGGUAGUUUGACUGGGGCGGUCUCCUCCCAAAGCGUAACGGAGGAGCACGAAGGUUAGCUAAUCCUGGUCGGACAUCAGGAGGUUAGUGCAAUGGCAUAAGCUAGCUUGACUGCGAGCGUGACGGCGCGAGCAGGUGCGAAAGCAGGUCAUAGUGAUCCGGUGGUUCUGAAUGGAAGGGCCAUCGCUCAACGGAUAAAAGGUACUCCGGGGAUAACAGGCUGAUACCGCCCAAGAGUUCAUAUCGACGGCGGUGUUUGGCACCUCGAUGUCGGCUCAUCACAUCCUGGGGCUGAAGUAGGUCCCAAGGGUAUGGCUGUUCGCCAUUUAAAGUGGUACGCGAGCUGGGUUUAGAACGUCGUGAGACAGUUCGGUCCCUAUCUGCCGUGGGCGCUGGAGAAUUGAGGGGGGCUGCUCCUAGUACGAGAGGACCGGAGUGGACGCAUCACUGGUGUUCGGGUUGUCAUGCCAAUGGCACUGCCCGGUAGCUAAAUGCGGAAGAGAUAAGUGCUGAAAGCAUCUAAGCACGAAACUUGCCCCGAGAUGAGUUCUCCCUGAGACUUUAAGUCUCCUGAAGGAACGUUAAAGACGAUGACGUUGAUAGGCCGGGUGUGUAAGCGCAGCGAUGCGUUGAGCUAACCGGUACUAAUGAACCGUGAGGCUUAACCUU